ensembl:lncRNA
UUCUUUUAAGGGCAAACUUUUCUAACCCUGAUCUUUUGACAAGAGCAGGGUAGGAGCAAUGGAAUCUGCAGCUAUGCUGCACAUCUCCAGUAGAAAUGUUAGGUGCAGCUAAAGCAUCCCAGAUGGCUCAGUCAUAGGCACAAAAGGCAGCUGGCAGCAAUCUGAGAAGCCUUCAUUUCCAGAGCAUAUCAGUGAGGAAUAUGCCCCUGAGGCUUCCACUUUCCUUUGGGUGUAAAACAUACACUGCUGUUUCCCAAAUUGAUUAUUUUUCCCAGCAGCUUUUCUCGUGUGUCUGUUCCAAUGAAGCACUUCAUGUUUCUUAUACCCCUAUGUGAGCUGCAGUGCUCUGAGAGGGCACAGUGGGAUUUUUUUUUCUAAGGCAACUCAGAAAAUUUGGGUAACACUCAUGUGAGCUUUCAGCAAUGGGCAUAGCUUGGACUGCAUGCUGGGAGCCUCCCCCUAUCCUGCUGAAGGCACUCAGCAAGCCAGAGCCCUGCAUGGCCACAGCAGGGGGACACACCAGAGGACAUGCACUGAAUCAGUGGCAGGAACAAGAAUUAAAUCCACAUCUUCUAGUCUUGCUAGUACACAGGCAGUGGAGAAAAGAGCAAGAUAAAGGAUUAAAAAGCAGUGAGACCAGAAGAUGCAUUUCCUUGAUCAAAAUGAGGUGAACAUUUGCCUGGUACCAAACUGCAAAACUGUGUAGCAACCAGAUGUGAACUUGUGCUUCAGACAAAAUCUGAGCAUGCCACAGGCACCAGAGAAAGUGAGAGCAGUGAUAAAUGACACCAAACCUGAGUGAAAGCAGCAGUCAGGUUCUACAGCUGGCUUUUUCCAUGUACGAAUCAGUCUGGAAUGGAAUGAAUGAAGCUGAAUAAAAAAGCACUUAUUUUGUCUGUUUGUUAUUUGAUUAAGCUAUCACCAAGAACUAUUCCUUCAGAAUGCAAAGCUUUUGGAUAAAAAUCGCUACUCUUCUUGACUGAUCUUUUCUCCAAUAAAAAUAUGCUGUGUUACUGAAAACAAAUCAGUGUAAGUGUGUACUCGUUCCUGUAAUAUCUGUUGGCAGUUAUGAAGAAUAUAUUCAAACUAUAAAUUCUAUGUAUUUUAAGUGCCUGAACUAUCUGGUUAUAGUUAUUUACUAAGAAACAUAACUAUAUACAGCAGGAGAAGCAAAAGAUUAGGCAC